rfam:Streptomyces sp. MMG1121 P433contig17.1, whole genome shotgun sequence.
UUUGACGGAGCCGAGCCACAGCGGGCUGUCCUCGGUGUGCUCGGUGCCGUAGGUGGCGAGCAGCGCCUGUGCCUC